rnacentral:rRNA from 1 species
UCCGUAGGGUGCGAGCGUUAAUCGGAAUUACUGGGCGUAAAGCGUGCGCAGGCGGUGAUGUAAGACAGAUGUGAAAUCCCCGGGCUCAACCUGGGAACUGCAUUUGUGACUGCAUCGCUGGAGUACGGCAGAGGGGGAUGGAAUUCCACGUGUAGCAGUGAAAUGCGUAGAGAUGUGGAGGAACACCGAUGGCGAAGGCAGCCCCCUGGGACCUGACUGACGCUCAUGUACGAAAGCGUGGGGAGCAAACAGG